rnacentral:lncRNA from 1 species
GAUGGGAGGGGCGGUCCGGCGUGUGGGAAGAUGCACUUAGGGGAAGGGCUGCAGGCGGGGCCUGAGUGAAUCCUUGGAGGUAGCAGGAUCCUAUGGAUCUAGAUGGGCCUGGCACGCCGCGGUCUGCCAGCAGGCGGAUCGUCGCGAGCUGGCGGGAGACUGGUUUGGGUGACGUUCAAUGAGAUUUGGCGGGUUCUGAGGGAGGGUGGACUUACAGGAAGGUAGGGAGAGGGAGUUAAGUGUUUAUAAUUAGUAAUUUGAAGUGUGUGUGUGUGUGCGCGCGCGCGUUGGUACUGAACUUAUAGGCAGUUGUGAGCUACCAUGAUGUGGGUGCUGAUAAUGGAGUUUACAUUCUCUGCAAGUUUUAUGUGUUUUUAACUGAUGAGCCAUUUCUGUAUUCCCCCCUCCUUACUCUUACAUUUGUUUUCCUAUUUUAUGUGUUUUGUCUGCAUGUUUAUGGACUACAUGCGUGCAUUGCCCACAAAGGCCAGAAGAAGUUGUGGGAUUCCCUGGAACUGGAGCAACCAACAGUUUGUGUGCACCAUGUGGGUAAUGGGAAUCGAACCUGGGUCCUCUAUAAGACUGGCCAGUGCUCUUAACUACUGAGGUGCAUUUCUUUCGGAAUUGAUUCACAUAACUAUUAUGCUAUACUGUUUGAAGUAUUUAUUAGAAAAACAUCAGAAAGAGAUUUGGACCACUUUCAUUUACAUGAAGAAAUAUCUUAGGGGUAUCUUUGAGUAUCUUCUGACACUAGAAGAUCCUGUAAACUCUACAGACUUCAACAGAAUUGAAGAACCUGGACAGAGCAGAGUUACCAACAAGAGAGCCCAGGGAUAGCAUUAACAUGGUGGUUACUCAAGACCUAACUCAGCCAGGGAGACAUACCAAGGCCUAUGAGGGAGUGGCAACAUUUGGAGGUGUGGCCUUGUUGGAAUAGGUGUGACCUGGUUGGAGUAGGUGUGUCACUGUGGGUGUGGGUAUGAGACCCUCACCCUAGUUGCCUGGAAGUCAGUCUUCCACUAGCAGCCUUUGGAUGAAGACAUAGAACUCUCAGCUCUUCCUGUGCCAUGCCUGCCUGGAUACUGCCAUGCUCCCACCGUGAUGGUAAUGGACUGAACCUCUGAACCUGUAAGCCAGCCCCAAUUAAAUGUUGUUUUUUAUAAGAUU